AUUGAACGCUGGCGGCAGGCUUAACACAUGCAAGUCGAACGAUGAAGAUAUAGCUUGGUAUAUCGGAUUAGUGGCGGACGGGUGAGUAACACUUAGGAAUCUACCUUUUAGCGGGGGAUAGCUCGGGGAAACUCGAAUUAAUACCGCAUAAUUUCUACGGAAUAAAGAGGGCUUUUAGCUCUCACUAGAAGAUGAGCCUAAGUAAGAUUAGCUAGUUGGUGGGGUAAAAGCCUACCAAGGCGACGAUCUUUAUCUGGUCUGAGAGGAUGAUCAGCCACACUGGGACUGAGACACGGCCCAGACUCCUACGGGAGGCAGCAGUGGGGAAUAUUGGACAAUGGGGGCAACCCUGAUCCAGCCAUGCCGCGUGUGUGAAGAAGGCCUUUUGGUUGUAAGGCACUUUAAGCAGUGAAGAAGACCUAUUGGUUAAUACCCAAUAGCGAUGACAUUAACUGCAGAAUAAGCACCGGCUAACUCUGUGCCAGCAGCCGCGGUAAUACAGAGGGUGCAAGCGUUAGUCGGAAUUACUGGGCGUAAAGCGAGCGUAGGUGGUUAAAUAAGUCAGAUGUAAAAGCCCUGGGCUCAACCUAGGAACGGCAUCUGAAUCUAUUUAACUAAGUAGGUGAGAGGGAAGUGGAAUUUCAGGUGUAGCGGUGAAAUGCGUAAGAUCUGAAGGAAUACCGAUGGCGAAGGCAGCUUCCUGGCAUCAUACUGACACUGAGGCUCGAAAGCGUGGGUAGCAAACAGG
rnacentral:rRNA from 1 species